rnacentral:tRNA from 1 species
GCCAGAGUAGCUCAGUGGAAGAGCAGGGCUUUCGUAAAGCUCAGGCCGUCGGUUCAAAUCCGACCUCUGGCU